GACGACGCUGGCGGCGUGCUUAACACAUGCAAGUCGAACGAGUGGCGAACGGGUGAGUAAUACGUGGGAACCUGCCUGAUGGAGGGGGAUAACUACUGGAAACGGUAGCUAAUACCGCAUACCAUGGGAUGGGACCAGAUGGGAUUAGCUAGUAGGUGGGGUAAAGGCUCACCUACGCGACGAUCCCUAGCUGCUCUGAGAGGAGGACCAGCCACACUGGAACUGGGACACGGUCCAGACUCCUACGGGAGGCAGCAGUGGGGAAUAUUGCACAAUGGGCGCAAGCCUGAUGCAGCCAUGCCGCGUGUAUGAAGAAGGCCUUCGGGUUGUAAAGUACUUUCAGCCGGGAGGCUUUACCCGCAGAAGAAGCACCGGCUAACUCCGUGCCAGCAGCCGCGGUAAUUC
rnacentral:rRNA from 1 species